ACGAAGGGUGCAAGCGUUAAUCGGAAUUACUGGGCGUAAAGCGUGCGUAGGCGGUUGUUUAAGUCUGCUGUGAAAUCCCCGGGCUCAACCUGGGAAUGGCAGUGGAUACUGGACAGCUAGAGUGUGUCAGAGGAUGGUGGAAUUCCCGGUGUAGCGGUGAAAUGCGUAGAGAUCGGGAGGAACAUCAGUGGCGAAGGCGGCCAUCUGGGACAACACUGACGCUGAGGCACGAAAGCGUGGGGAGCAAACAGGA
rnacentral:rRNA from 1 species